GUAAACGAUGUCAACUAGCCGUUGGGAGACUNGAUCUCUUAGUGGCGCAGCUANCNCACUAAGUUGACCGCCUGGGGAGUACGNCCGCAAGGUUAAANCUCAAAUGANUUGACGGGGGCCCGCACAAGCGGUGGAGCAUGUGGUUUAAUUCGAUGCAACGCGAAGANCCUUACCUGGUCUUGACAUCCAGAGAAUUUACUAGAGAUAGUUUAGUGCCUUCGGGAACUCUGUGACAGGUGCUGCAUGGCUGUCGUCAGCUCGUGUUGUGAAAUGUUGGGUUAAGUCCCGUAACGAGCGCAACCCUUAUCCUUAUUUGCCAGCACUUUGGGUGGGAACUCUAAGGAGACUGCCGGUGACAAACCGGAGGAAGGUGGGGACGACGUCAAGUCAUCAUGGCCCUUACGACCAGGGCUACACACGUGCUACAAUGGCAGGAACAGAGGGACGCGAAUCCGCGAGGUGGAGCUAAUCCCAGAAAACCUGUCGUAGUCCGGAUUGGAGUCUGCAACUCGACUCCAUGAAGUCGGAAUCGCUAGUACKCGCGAAUCAGAAUGUCGCGGUGAAUACGUUCCCGGGCCUUGUACACACCGCCCGUCACACCAUGGGAGUGGAUUGCACCAGAAGUAGUUAGUCUAACCUUCGGGAGGACGAUUACCACGGUGUGGUUCAUGACUGGGGUGAAGUCGUAACAAGGUAGCCCUAGGGGAACCUGGGGC
rnacentral:rRNA from 1 species